GGUCGGUGUGGACUGGUUGGGCCGAAGGGCCUGUUUCCACACUGUAGGGCAUCUAGUGAUUUUCAUGUCUACGUCUUUCAAGCUCAGCUAGUGAAGUCGGGCGGACAAAUUCCUUUUAACGAGAAAGGAAAUCUUUGCACAGAAUUCCCUCACACAGGUGGUAAUGUCAAAGGGCCAGGAAUCCAGACACAGUGGCUACGAAACACUAAAGAGACAUCAGUUCAAGUCUCACCAUGGUAGCUAAAUUCAAGUCAUAAAAUCUGGAUUCAGUAACAGUGGUCAUGAAAUUACUAUUUAUUGUCAGAAAAUUUCACCUGACUCAUUAACUUUGAUCUGUCAUGGAAAUCUGCCAUCCUUACCCAGUCUUGCCGACAUGAGAUUAAUAUUUAAUUACUCUUGGAAAUGGUCUUUCAAGCCAUUCACUUUAAAGGUAAUCUGGGAUGGGCAACAAAUCUGCCCAGACCCCAUGAAAGAGAUUGAAGAAAAAAAGACCUCCCACAUUAAACCAUGUUGGAAUGAUGAUGUUACAAUGAGCUCUUAAGCCUUUAAUGGGUUAAAAGGCAGCACUGAUUGUGCCUGAUCUCCACUGCCUCCCCUCGUCUCAAGAUGCCUUUGGCAGCACUGUUGCCGUGGAAAUAAAACUUCCUGCCCGUAAUCCUCCAUUAUCCCUCCCCCCCCCAUCCACACUUUAUCCUCAUGUGACACAUAAUUACUUGCUAAAUUAGAACAGCUCUUUCCAGAGUCACAACUAGAGGUUAACAUGUUAGCCAGAUGCGAUCAUGCUGGAAUGACAGAACUUACAGGAGGUUGUCCUGUCUGAUUGCUGUGGUUUCUUUCUUACAAUGCUUAAAAAGAAUCACACAACUUUGUACACCCCAGUCCAACACCGGCAUCUCCAAAUCAUGCUUAAAAAGAAAGCAUUCUGAAUAGCUCCUCCCACCCUGACGAACAUCAAUGCAUCACUAGGGAUAUUCUAAUAAGCCUCCUCCUUCAAAAUAUAAAACCGGAUUCAAUCAAAAGAGUUAAAGCAAGUAUUUGAGAGUAGACCCUUAUCGUCAUCAUUAACCGACCCUGUUCAGCCACUGAUGGACCUGGUGGACAAAGUGGAGAAAGGAUAUCGGAUGGAAUGUCCAGAUAAGUGUCCCACCUCCGUGUACAACCUGAUGAAAUCCUGCUGGGAGUACGAUCCUGGCAAACGUCCCACCUUUAAAAAACUCAGGGACAAACUGGAAAAAGAAGGGAGGAAAUCCGAUUAUGUUUGAAGCAAGAACAACUCAUGGGCAGGUUUAACCACAGUCAGAGCAUCCUAUUGAGCCAACAUACUGGGAUGGAUCCUAUCCAGGAUUUUGAGUCUUACAGCAGCACAUGGUGAAGAAUGACAGAUUAUACAUAACAGGAGAAAAAAGAAAUCCCUUCAAUGUCAUGCUGUAUUCCUCUAUACACAAACUGAAGGUUCCCAUCUAUGUUUAAAUCAACCCCUUCAUCCUGUCAGUGCCUGUUUACCUUCUAACAGAGCUGACCUUAACAUGGUUGUGCUUGCUCACAUACGAGAUUAGAAAUUGCGGUUUUAUUUUGUUUUGGGGAAUCCACACAGAAUAUUAUACAAUCAGCAUCAAACUAACCUGACACUGUCAAUAUCAGACCGACCCAUCACAAUAAACAGGAAUAAGGACAUUUUUAUACAGACCUUGCCUUCAGAAGUUGAAAUUGAUACAGCACAGUGUCUGAUAAGGUAGAAUGUGCAUGGGCUUCAUAGCAAGCAGGAGUGAAUGGCCUUCUCUUAUAUUUCUCACAUUGUAACAAUGAUUGUCCUUCGAAAGUAUUUCAUUUGGCCAGAAAGUACUUUUGAACAAUCUGAGGUCCAGACAGCUGCUCUAUAAUGUAUAGUUGUUUCCUGAUUUGCUUUCAGUUUUUACUUAUGUUAAAGACUGUGCUCUGUGUGGUACCUGUUCAACAGUGGACAAUUUCAGAUCUCAACAGACACUUGCUGCAAAAGUCUCCAUUCAGUAUUUUGUUAAGUGUUGAUGUAAUUGAGAAUCUGUUGCAAUAAAUUAAAACCUUUUGCCUAAA